GUGGGGAAUCUUCCGCAAUGGACGAAAGUCUGACGGAGCAACGCCGCGUGAGUGAAGAAGGUUUUCGGAUCGUAAAGCUCUUUCGUUAGGGACGAACGUGCUCUUUGUGAAUAAUGAGGAGUAAUGACGGUACCUAAAUAAGAAGCCACGGCUAACUACGUGCCAGCAGCCGCGGUAAUACGUAGGUGGCAAGCGUUGUCCGGAAUUAUUGGGCGUAAAGCGCGCGCAGGCGGGAUAUCAAGUCUGGCGUAAAAGUGCGAGGCUCAACCUCGUGAGGGGACAGAAACUGGUAUUCUUGAGUGUCGGAGAGGAAAGUGGAAUUCCAAGUGUAGCGGUGAAAUGCGUAGAGAUUUGGAAGAACACCAGUGGCGAAGGCGACUUUCUGGACGAUGUCUGACGCUGAGGCGCGAAAGCUAGGGGAGCGAACGGGAUUAGAAACCCGUGUAGUCC
rnacentral:rRNA from 1 species